UAUUUAGUUGAUUCUCAUGGGCAGCUCCUAGAUUCUUAGCCAGGUAAAUAUCAUUUCUCAUGGUAUGCUCUCCAUGUUCAAUAUCCCCCUAACCAUCAGUUGUUAAUAGGCUUUGGAAAACCCCUCCUAGCUUGAGUAUUGAACCAUAUGCAGGAAUUUCUGUUGUUUGUGAAGUGUGGCACAGUGCUGUGGUUUUGUGGGAAGUCAUCCUUGCUAUUUUAUAGGAAAACUCUACCUAAGUAAAUCUUCCUUAGUUGAAAAAUCAUGUAUUUGUUUUCUCAUUCACUGUUUAAGUUGUAACAACAU
rnacentral:lncRNA from 1 species